rnacentral:tRNA from 1 species
GCCGGGGUGGCUCAGUUGGUUAAGCGCCUGACUUGGGCUCAGGAGAUGAUCUUGUGUGCGUGGGUUUGAGCCCUGCAUCUGGCU